GAAAAGUGAUCUCUGUAGACAAAUUCAAAUUUGUCUCCAAAAAUUUUGUAGGAUAAGUAUAAAUUUCUUGUACUGAUUAUUUCCUUUCUAUAAAAGAUGGUACCCAGGCAUAAGAUGAACUGAUUUUACUUCGUCAAUGGUUAGAAAGUAGUAAGGUUAGACUUUCUAAUGAGGAAUCUGCAGUUGAUGAAAGGAAGGUUUAUGAAGCCAAAUUUCUUGAGGAAUCUACGCAAGAAGGAAAAAAUAUUAUCAGAAAAUUUCAACCUAAAUGGAACAUGAUUUUUUCAGAGGUUCAUGAGGAGAAUGUCAGCGAUACCUUUUCUUUCAAAAUUCCUCCGCCAGCCUAUAUUGCUAUUUAUGUUUUCAUCCAUUCCAUUGAGCCUUUUCAGCUUGUGGAUCCUUAUAAUAUUCCCCUAUGUCAAGUCGCUGCUAUAGCUGAGCUAGCUGGCGCUUAUAGCAAUUGAUGACUUUUUUAGCCUUUUAUCUAAUUUGAAGAAAUGUAUUUAGCAUCCUUGGAUCCUCUAUAUUGUUUUUACUCUUU
rnacentral:lncRNA from 1 species